GGCUCAAUGGUCUAGUGGUAUGAUUCUCGCUUUGGGUACCACCCUGAACUGAGACCGUGGGAUUAAAACCCGCUGGUCGCGAUAUGCGAGAGGCCCCGGGUUCAAAUCCCGGUUGAGCCC